rnacentral:rRNA from 1 species
AUUGAACGCUGGCGGCAGGCCUAACACAUGCAAGUCGAACGGUAGCACAGAGAGCUUGCUCUUGGGUGACGAGUGGCGGACGGGUGAGUAAUGUCUGGGAAACUGCCCGAUGGAGGGGGAUAACUACUGGAAACGGUAGCUAAUACCGCAUAACGUCUUCGGACCAAAGUGGGGGACCUUCGGUCCUCACACCAUCGGAUGUGCCCAGAUGGGAUUAGCUAGUAGGUGGGGUAAUGGCUCACCUAGGCGACGAUCCCUAGCUGGUCUGAGAGGAUGACCAGCCACACUGGAACUGAGACACGGUCCAGACUCCUACGGGAGGCAGCAGUGGGGAAUAUUGCACAAUGGGCGCAAGCCUGAUGCAGCCAUGCCGCGUGUAUGAAGAAGGCCUUCGGGUUGUAAAGUACUUUCAGCGGGGAGGAAGGCGGUAAGGUUAAUAACCUUGCCGAUUGACGUUACCCGCAGAAGAAGCACCGGCUAACUCCGUGCCAGCCGCCGCCGUAAAAC